CUUGUGCAAUGAUGACUAUAUAUCUGGAGACUGUUGGAUGAAUCCUGCGGAUAUGGGACUGAGCACAGAC
rnacentral:snoRNA from 1 species